rfam:Schistosoma mattheei strain Denwood, Zambia genome assembly, scaffold: SMTD_contig0021989
GCACCGCUAACGAGUCCUAUAACAGAACGAAACGGCCGUCCAGUGC